CAGAAUUCCUCAUAGUAAACACGUACAAAAUGACUGGAUGACUUUGAGCACAUUCCAUCUAGAGAAUCGAAAACCUGCAGAGCAAGAACCGCCAGCUACAGGACGAGUGUUUAUUAAAAUAGAAUCUUUAUUUGUCUCAUUAUUAAAGCAUCACAUUUAAGGCAUGUGGCUCAGAAUGUAUUCUGAAUACAGUUCAGAUAUCAUAGAAAUGUGAGACAUUCCGUUCUUGUGUCACAGAUAUUUGGGUCUGAAAAUCAUCUGGAAGGUCAGUAGGGUGUCUUCUGAUUGAGUCCUUUUAACCUUCCUGGUUUUACGCAUUCAUGCUUGUGUUAGUGUUUGAUGCCUUAUGUUUAGUUUUUUGUUAGAACUGGUUUCUGUGGGAGAAAAAUAUCAUUUUAAUUUAGUUAAAUUGUGAGUGUUCAGAUUCUGAGUUGAUCUGCUUCCACACAACAUGUCUCAGUAAGAAACUAUACACUGAAGGUGGACUUUUAAUAUCACUCUUAAUAUUCUACAUGACAUUAUUUUCACUGGAAACCAGUUAUGAAGAAAGAGUUUAAGUCUUGUGUUGUAUUACACUAUCAUGGUCUUCAUUAAGAGAGGAAUGUUAUAGAAGAAUGUUUUCCUCUGGGCAUUAUUUAUUCAGUGUUUAUUGCCUGAAGCCAUGUUCCGUGUUUUUCAGGUUAAACGUGUUCGAAAGCUCAGCUUGGAUUCGUCGCAGUUGAGCCAAUGCUCUGUUCUCAUAUUGUGUCCUAAGAUUUCACACAAUUUGUCUCAUUUUUGAAAAUAAAUGACUUUAUCAUGACUUUUAUGUUUCUGUGGCAAUGGUGUGUGUGAUUGUGCGAUUGUUAGAGCUGGUGUGUGUGUGUUUGUGAGAGUUUUUGUGAUGGUUGUUGUGGUGAGCUUUCAAGCUCUUCUCAGAAUCACCUGACUGCCCACACCGAUGCAUGUAGGUGGUUGUGAAGCAGAGGGUUACGGAUGCGGCCAUUUUAUUGUGUUUUCUGUCAAAAGGCCGCAGCGUCAUUUCAGUUUAACUGAAACUGAACUUAUCUGAUGAUAAAAUGCAAGUGAAACUGGGGCCAUGACAUAAAGAUCCAGCAACCUGGAAACAGCAUGAAGGCCAAAGAUAUGGAGGAGCUGUUAGGAAGUCUGGAGCAUGACCUCAUACAUGGUGGUGUUUAAAGCCUCAACAUUUUGUUAGGGGCAAAUAGCUGGAAACUUCAACAAAGGUGUUUCUCAGAGCUGCUUGAAAGAGCUAAACAUCUUCUUUACAGCUAAGUCUUCCAUGCUGGGCUCAGACUCCGCCUACAUCUGGAUCCUCUCUCUGAUUGUUUUUUCCUGUGUUCUUUUUGCUGCUCUGUUUCACUCCCGGAGAACUGGAACCUUCUCAUCUCUCUCUCAGUUCCCCGGAGAAUCCACGAUGAAGGAGUCACAGGAUACACUCGUAGCAGCAGGAGACCCCGAGACACAUGCAGACUGUCAGGACUGAUGUGCCUUUGUUCAUGUUCCUCGUCACAUGUCUGCCCUGCAUUCAUCUGCUCCUCCCGUCUCUACAUACAGUGUACCUGUUUCCCAUUGUUAUUAUUGUGUCUGGAAUCAUCGUCACUGUCCCAUCAGUGUCAUGUUCGUAUAACGUCUUUAUUCCAUUGUACUUUGUUUUGUUUAGUUUUUGUCUGUGUUCCUGUUUCAUGUAUGUUAUUUAUUAAACCCCAUUCUUUUGAAGCUAUCCUGCGUAUCGGUCUGUCUCCCUCCUUCCCGGUUGUGACACAGAGAAAGUAAUAAAACUAAUAAAACAUUACACACAGGCUGCUUACAGAUGGGGAAAGAGGGAGGGAGAAUUAUUUACCUGAUAUUGUGAUUAUAUAUUUAUUUAUUUAACAUUUUGUUAUUUAUUAAGUCCUGACUAUAAAACACGAAUUGUGUUUAAAAUGCCACGUGUAUUUCUUCAGUCUGUAAAUGGCAUAAACAAUAAAAUUAGAGUUCAGAGUUGUUAGUUUUUUUUUCCACAGGAAAUCCUGGCCCCUGUUCCUGUCUGAAGUGACAAGAAAUGAGAGAUCGUGUGUGCAUGGGGUGCACAAGUGUGUGUGUGUGUGUGUGUGUGUGUGUGUGUGUGUGUGUGUGUGUGUGUGUGUGUGUGUGUGUGUGUGUGUGUGUGU